CCCUGGUACGAGGACCCGCCGCCGCCGGGGCAGGACGCUGCAGACACGGGGGCCAAGAGGGACGGCAUGCAGGACGAGAAGCCGGCGUCGUCAAAGCCAGAGUCGAAGAAACCUAGCAAGGAGAGCAAGCCAGAAGAGAACGUGGCCGCAUACAAGCGAAUCGGACCUGCGAACGGAUUGCAGCGACGCAACGCACAGACGGAUCUGUUGUUGCCGUCGAUCGUGACAAUCCCAUGCAAGACGGAGCAGUGCCGCUGUGACCUCAAACACAAAUGAAACU